rnacentral:lncRNA from 1 species
UUUUCCACAAAAUUGUGAAAAACCCUUAUAUAUUAAUCAACAUUGUAAAUGUUUCACUCAGGGCAGAUCAUGGCUGAGUAAAGCUGAAGAUGAGAGGCACAGACAACUCCUGCUGCAGCCCAACAGAGAUCUGUUCAGCAGAGAGUGUGUACCGCGAAAAAAAGCAGAUCCAGCACAUGUUAAGUCUACUGCUUCUAACCUGAGGUCAGAUUGCACUUGGGUCAGUAUCAUCCAUUAAUCAAUUCAGAAUUAUUAUUUUUUUAUCCCAUUAACCCCAUCCCAUUUUUUUUUCUUAACUGCAUGGUUUUACUGCAGCACUCUCUUGUUUCAUUUCAGAGGGCAAAGGUCAGUUCUGGAGUUGACACCCAUCAGAUUGUGAAGAAAGCAGAUUUACCAUCCAGAUCAGCUGUUAGGCCAACCCAGAGAGCCCAGACUCCAGCGCUCUCGGCUAGAGAGAUCCAGCUGCAGUCUGAGCUGUAUGGUAAGCUGGUUUCUGAGCGUCAGAAGUUAGCUGGUCUCAGAGACAUCCCACCAGCCCUACUGGCCACCAAUAAAAUACUCCUGGAUAUGGCAAAAUCAAGGUAAUGUUGGCCUUUGGAUGGUGUAUAAAAGUAUAGUCUUCCAAAAAGAGCAUUUCCUUUAACUCUGAAGUUAGAGUUGCAAAAUCCAGUCAUUCCUGUAGAAAUCUGUGCAAUUGAGAGUUUUGAGUGACCAGAGGAAAUCUGCUUUAUACAUGGCUACGCUAUUGACAAUACACUAUGGACCUUUUUGGCCACAAAAUUUUACUGAGAUUUCACUAAUGUGUCUGCACUAUGGAAGAAAAAUAAUGACAAAUGUCUUUGAAACAAAAAAGCAUCAUAAAUUUGCACUAACUGAAAAAAUAAUGCAUUGUAUUAACAGUAUUUACAUUUUAAUGACUUGUAUUUUCAGGGGCUGACAUUCAACAUAGUUGUUUAUUUAAGCUGCAAAUAUUUCAAUUAAAAAAAUUCACACACAUUUUCAUAAUUAAAAAUUCAUUAAUUCAUAUUCACCUUACAUGAUUCACUUCCGGAAUAUUCAAUGUGUUUAAAAAUAAGAUGUAUAAUAUUCAACGGGCAAGUUUCGAUCAAUUUUAUUUCAUUUUACAAAUUGUGGUUCAAAUUCGGUAGAAAAUUCAGGGAGCAUCCGGGAGCUGCAGAAAUAGCAGUAGAGCACCGAUGCAUGAUCUCCAGCUGCUGUCAGUCACUCACCAGCAGGUGGCGCAAACCACUGUUGAUAAAGACCAGUGCAACAAGUGGAUUAAGUCAUUCGUUCACAAAAACUGAUCUGCAGAAAUGGAGCAAGCAGUAGAAGUUAUGAUUAUCGAAGCCAGUAUAAAUAUGCAGAAAAAACAAUUGUGUCAGAUACGUUUAAUACAACAUCAUCGCUGUUACUCAUUUUUCAGCCUAUAUGUAAGCAGCUUUCUGUAGCUUUACUGAAAAGGAGAUUAUAAUGCUGUUUUACCUGACACUGAUGUACAGAACUUACAUUACAUCCGAGGAAGAAAAUUGCUUUCGGUGGCUUAGUUUCCGUAACUUUGUAUCAUGGCUUGUAUGACGCUGUGCUCCAAUACUGGGGUUCCCCUCAUACAUCACACUCUAGGUUUCCCCAACGACCCGUAAUGCAUCCAAAUUAACCAAUACAG